AUUUUUCAUUUGUCACCAAAAUUACUCCAGAGGCUUCUUCAAGAAUUCCCAGCCAAAAUCCCAUUAAAUUUGCAGCUAUAUCAGCAUACCCAAAGUUAUCUCCCACAAAGAAUUUUUUGUCCUUGAGCUCAUUAUCAAGAAUCUUUAGCAGCUCACCACAUUCCUCUUUAGCUUUGUCUGACUCCUCUCCUUUUCCAAAUAAAGCUUUCCCAAUUGUAGUUAUGCACUGCAAAAAACUCAAAUCUUGAAGUCCAAACUUUUUACCAAAUUAUCUGCAGAUUGGUAUGCAUUGUCUCAUUAAAGGUAAAAACCAAUCCACUUAUUUGUAAUUCGUCCACGCUUAACCGGUUGGAGUUGGACUAUAACUCAUUUAUUGGCUUGAUCAAACAGGUUGAAUUCGAAAUAGCCCAUCAAAAAUAUCAAGUUAAUCUGGGUCUAGCUUUUUUUGCUAAAACUUUCGAAAAAGUAUUCAAAGAGCCUUUUGCUAAAACAAUGUAUCCCCGCGUGUCAAAGUUAAGCAUACAAAAUAAAAAUUGAGAUUGAGAACUAUAUAAAUUUACUUGUAAUAACCGCCCAAUAUGCCCAAGCUAUAUAUUAUCUUGACAUGUUUUGACUAACCCAAAUUUGACGCAACAUGCACCUCUAAUGGCAUGACCAUGAAUUUCAAUAGAAAAAAGGCAAGAGCAAAGACAAAUAAUAUAAAGAUUGACAUAGCGAAAUGUUCAAAUAACAAUUAAAGAUGGAAUAUUUUGAAGAAAAAAAAAAGGACAAGUUAAAUGAAGCAUAAGCAAAUUCAACCUUACCUUAACAUCAAGAAAAUUAGCCCAGAAACGAGCUAAAGCUCGUUCAUAGGGAUCUUUAGGCAAGAUAGAAGGGCCUUCAAAAGUCUCGUCAAUGUAUUCAAGAAUGAUCAUAGACUCAGAAAUG
rnacentral:lncRNA from 1 species